GUAGGUGAACCUGCGGAAGGAUCAUUAUCGUAGGGCUCCCGCCCUGUCGAGAUAGCGUCCUUGCCUAUUUUUUGGAGCACCGUUCGUUUCCUCGGCAGGCUUGCCUGCCACUGGGGACCCCACAAACCCUUUGUAAAUACAGCAAUCGUCUGAAAAACAAACAAAAAAUCAAAACUUUCAACAAUGGAUCUCUUGGUUCUGGCAUCGAUGAAGAACGCAGCAUCUGACUGACUAAGAUUCGGCGCAUCUC
rnacentral:misc_RNA from 1 species